UUUCACCAAGUGUCGUGUUACAGAGAUGAUGACAGCACAUCAGAGCUCAAUUGUGCUAAAGUAUCAUCUUAUGUCGUUUUUUUUUUUUGUAUCUUUUGUGAGGUUUUAACUCGUUAUAACGCGUUAAUCUCCCCCCCUCGGGAUCCGAACUGCGCAUGCGCACCGGCAGCAGCGCGACCCAGCGCCGAAGCAGCCCUAAUGGCGGAGAACGUGCGGUCGCCCUUCGACUACCGGGAGCCCCCGACCCUCGACAGCGACGGCGACGGCGGCAAGCCUCCGCCGCCCCGGGGGCGGGUGUGCGGCAGGAAGAGGAAGGGCACGCCGGUGAAAGUGUGCGACCGGGCGUAUGUCACCGAGGACGAGGAGGAGAGCAUGUCGGAGCACAGUUACAGUCCAGGUGACGGCCAGUACCCGGAGGGACCGGAGGACCGCUUGGCCCCGCCCGGCAGCCCGUACUACCUCACCGACCCCUCCCAGCUGUGUGUACCGGAGCUUGGAGAAGAAGGCGCCAGCGGGGUGCGGGGACCGGUGCUCUUCCAUCCCCCGCCCAACUGCAGGAUCCGGGAAGUGCAUUGUGGGAGCCAGGUCCGUCUGGUCGUCAUCGCGAUCCGAGACAUCGCCAAAGGAGAGGAGAUUACGGUGGACUACAGUUUAAGCGACUGGGGAGACAACGCUAUGAAUUUUCAUAGCUCCGUGUCUCCAAGGGGAUUUGAAUGCAGCUUCAAUCCGGACAGCAGUAUCAAGAAGGAAGAGGAUUCCGGUCCCCUCCCGCUGUCUCUCACCGUGUCGGACUACCUCACCCCCUCGUGGUCCCUGUCCCCGUCCUCCUCGCCGCUCUCUCACUCUGAGGCCAGCGACUCGGACCGGGAGGAAGACGAGGAGGAGGAGGAGGAGGAGGACGACGAAGACGAGGAUGAAGAGGAGCUGGAGGAGCUGCGCGGCCGCAUGCUGCGCCGGCGCAAGAAACGCAAGGCCCCCGCCCCCGCCUCCGCCCCGUCGGCGGCCAAGAAGAAGGCGUCGCCCCGCGCCCAACCCCCUCGAGCCCCCCUGUCGUUCUCGCGGCCCGCCUCCUCGUCACCCCCGGCCUUCCAGGCCCCCCUGGCGCCGCCGCCCACCACAAACAUAAACAACAACAUUAAUAUAAACAUCGGGCACGGCGGCGUUGGCGGCGUGGGCUCGGCGGGCAAGCGGCAGCACUGCCCGUACUGCGGCCGCCAUUUCCGCUCGCUGGCGCGCCACCUGGAGAAGCACCACGCCCAGCAGCCCGAGGUCCGCGCCGCCAUGGAACUCGCCCACAUGCGGUCGCAGACGACGCACCCGGCGGGCGCCGCCUCCUUCGCCGCCCCUCAGCCGUCCUCCUCGUCCUCGGCCCCGCCCCCGACGCUCUUCUCCCGGGAGAGGGAGGCGUCGGGCCCCGGGGCGGUGUCCUUCUCGCUCUCGCUCUCCCAGCCCUCCUCCGCCGCCGCCGCCGCCCCCCCCCCCCAAAAAAGACUCCGGCCCCCACCGCCGCCCCGCCACGAAAGCCCGAGUCCACGCCCGCCGCUUCCGCGGCCCCGCCCAACCCCCCGGCCAAGAGGGGGCGGCGGCCGAAAAGGGUGA
ensembl:lncRNA